rnacentral:rRNA from 1 species
CCUACGGGAGGCAGCAGUGAGGAAUAUUGGUCAAUGGACGAGAGUCUGAACCAGCCAAGUAGCGUGAAGGAUGACUGUCCUAAGGGUUGUAAACUUCUUUUAUAAAGGAAUAAAACGAGGCACGUGUGCCUUUAUGCAUGUACUUUAUGAAUAAGGAUCGGCUAACUCCGUGCCAGCAGCCGCGGUAAUACGGAGGAUCCGAGCGUUAUCCGGAUUUAUUGGGUUUAAAGGGAGCGUAGGUGGGUUGUUAAGUCAGUUGUGAAAGUGUGCGGCUCAACCGUAAAAUUGCAUUUGAUACUGGCAGUCUUGAGUACAGUUGAGGUAGGCGGAAUUCGUGGUGUAGCGGUGAAAUGCUUAGAUAUCACGAAGAACCCCGAGUGCGAAGGCAGCUUACUAAACUGUGACUGACAUUGAUGCUCGAAAGUGUGGGUAUCAAACAGGAUUAGAUACCCUAGUAGUC